GCCGAAGUGGUGGAAUUGGCAGACACGCACGACUCAAAAUCGUGUGAGCUGAGCUCAUGAGGGUUCGACUCCCUCCUUCGGCACCA
rnacentral:tRNA from 1 species